rnacentral:rRNA from 1 species
CCUACGGGUGGCAGCAGUAGGGAAUUUUCGGCAAUGGGGGGAACCCUGACCGAGCAACGCCGCGUGAGGGAGUACUGCCCUAUGGGUUGUAAACCUCUUUUGUCGGGGAGCAAAAGCCGGACGUGUCCGGCUGUGAGAGUACCCGAAGAAAAAGCAUCGGCUAACUCCGUGCCAGCAGCCGCGGUAAUACGGAGGAUGCGAGCGUUAUCCGGAUUUAUUGGGUUUAAAGGGUGCGCAGGCGGAUUUUUAAGUCAGCGGUCAAAUCGUGGGGCUCAACCCCAUCCAGCCGUUGAAACUGGGGAUCUAGAGUGUGCGAGAGGUAUGCGGAAUGCGUGGUGUAGCGGUGAAAUGCAUAGAUAUCACGCAGAACCCCGAUUGCGAAGGCAGCAUACCGGUGCACAACUGACGCUCAGGCACGAAAGCGUGGGUAUCGAACAGGAUUAGAUACCCUAGUAGUC